UACGGAGGGUGCAAGCGUUGUCCGGAAUCACUGGGCGUAAAGGGCGCGUAGGCGGCUCAUGAAGGCUGUGGUGAAAGUCCGGGGCUCAACCUCGGAUCGGCCGUGGCGACUCGUGGGCUGGAGCACUGUAGAGGCGGGUGGAAUUCCGGGUGUAGCGGUGGAAUGCGUAGAGAUCCGGAAGAACACCAGUGGCGAAGGCGGCCCGCUGGGCAGUGGCUGACGCUGAGGCGCGACAG
rnacentral:rRNA from 1 species